UUUCCGGUUGAUCCCGCCCGGAAGGCCAUUGCUAUCGGAGUCCGAUUUAGGCCAUGCUAGUCGAGCGAGGUUAGCCCUCGCGGCGAACAGCUCAGUAACACGUGGCCAAGCUACCCUGCAGAGGGGGGACAGCGUCGGGAAACUGACGGGAAUCCCCCAUACCGGUCUCACGCUGGAAUGCCGAGACCGACAAACGCUCCGGCGCUGCAGGAUGCGGCUGCGGCCGAUUAGGUAGUCGGUGGGGUAACGGCCCACCGAGCCGAUAAUUGGUACGGGGUGUGAGAGCACGAGCCCGGAGACGGAAUCUGAGACAAGAUUCCGGGCCCUACGGGGCGCAGCAGGCGCGAAACCUUUACACUGCACGAAGGUGCGAUAAGGGGACUCCGAGUGCGAGGGCAUACAGUCCUCGCUAUUGUGUACCGUAGGGUGGUACACGACCAAGAGCUGGGCAAGACCGGUGCCAGCCGCCGCGGUAAUACCGGCAGCUCGAGUGAUGGCCGAUUUUAUUGGGCCUAAAGCGUCCGUAGCUGGCCCUGCAAGUCCGUCGGGAAAUCCACUCGCCUAACGAGUGGGCGUCCGGCGGAAACUACAGGGCUUGGGACCGGAAGACUUGAGGGGUACGUCUGGGGUAGGAGUGAAAUCCUGUAAUCCUGGACGGACCGCCGAUGGCGAAAGCACCUCAAGACGACGGAUCCGACAGUGAGGGACGAAAGCUAGGGUCUCGAACCGGAUUAGAUACCCGGGUAGUCCUAGCCGUAAACGAUGUUCGCUAGAUGUGGCACAGGCUGCGUGCCUGUGCUGUGUCGUAGGGAAGCCGAGAAGCGAACCGCCUGGGAAGUACGUCCGCAAGGAUGAAACUUAAAGGAAUUGGCGGGGGAGCACUACAACCGGAGGAGCCUGCGGUUUAAUUGGAUUCAACGCCGGG
rnacentral:rRNA from 1 species